GCCCUCAUAGCUCAGCGGUUAGAGCACUGGUCUUGUAAACCAGGGGUCGGGAGUUCGCUUCUCCUGGGGGGCA
rnacentral:tRNA from 1 species